GCUCGCCUGCUCUCGGAACGUUUGCCAAUCAGACAACGACGCGUUCCAUACAAGAUUGAAUGCGAUCGUAUAUAUACCCAACGUAUACAAACAGUGGAACAGUGAUUGGCGGUGACGGAGCCGUGCGAAGUAACACUGGCUUAUCGGUACAGCAUGCUCCUGUCCCGGUGGUACAUUACAGCACGCGUGAAAACCGGGACGGCAUGGAAACGACGCUAUCCGGACGGAUAAGUCAAGGGUUGCAAUGUGGGUCCACACUCGUGCCCGACAGUAAAUAAAGGGAAAAGAGAAGUCUAUCCUUUCGAGCGCCGCACGGGGCGAGAAGCUCAGCGCUAUGGCGAUGCGGCGCUCGAAGCUCAGCGCUAUGGCGAUGGCGGAGGCGGCAGACGACGGAUUUCAGUUCCUAUCAGAUCCAACUGACAGAUUCCCAUUGUCGGAUCUCGCCGUAGACGAGUAUUUGCUGCGCGGCGAAACAGAUCAAUCUCUGCUAUGCGCCGUCGCUCAAUCCAGCAAUAGUGGUGUGGCCAUGCGGCAGUCACGGUACAACAAGAAUAUGACAGUCGUUUCAAAAGGAUCGCCCUGUCGAGUUCAGUGCAUUCGACAGACAGAGACGAUGGACAAGCAUCUGACUUGCCCAACAAGUAUACAUAUGCGACGGAGUGGUUCUACUUGAAGCACAUACUAAUUCUGAUUGUUGUGCAUGAUCCUAGAGGGUUGACAUAUAAUGAACUUUCUUGAUUAUCCCAGAGAAGAGUGGUUUAUAAUUAUACUCAUGAUACCUUGACCAGUGUAGCACUCUGACUUGCGGCAGUAAAUCAUUACUGGAUGGCGAAGCAAUUCAAACUUUGGUGUGCACAGCCACUGAAUCCAGCAUUGGUGAUGUGGGCGAUACAGAAGAGACAAUACAAGUAGAUGUCAACAGCACUUGCAAUGGAGUGGCCCUAUCCCUGGCAAACUCAGAACAUUCAACAAGCAAAGAUAACCCGCAAGCACCUGGCUGGACAAAGAGGUAUACAAGUGUCAAUGCGUGUUUCUAUUUCGAACAUAUGCCAACUUUGACUGGCAUGUAUGUUCCCUCAAAAAAUACAAUAGUGUAGUUAAAGUGUUGAACAUUUGUAUUGUUUGUGGGAGUCAACAAUCACUUCCAAAGUGUGAUUUUCGGUGGGGGUCUUAGUAAGGGAUGAGACAGUGGAAACAUUUACAUUGGUGUUCACUGGAUUUAUCUGCAUGAUGGGCGGCAAACAUCCACAGAACUUGCUCACAGAGCCAUGGAGGUUGUAGCAAUAGAUAAGGUGAUGCCAAAUACCAGACAUCGCUGGUGCAAGUGGCAUGGCCUGAAGAAGGCAAAAGAAUCUCAUGGCUCAAAUUGCACAAAGAGAAGCAAGUUUAGAACGGACUUCCACAAGAUAAUACACCACGUGCUGACAGCUGAUGUGUUUGAGACUGGAUGGAAUUGAUUGACAGAAACACAUGGUUUGCAAAAACACCCUUACCUUACUCAAAUCUACUCCGUGCAGAACCAUAUUUCAAGAACACAAUCGCCACCGUGCAUCACAUGUAGUUGUUGUGCACGACGCAAUGUGUUUAGAAGACAGAAUUCAGUCGAACAAGUCGAAAGGUAAAGAAGUGAUUGUGUUGCAUGAACCACACAAUGGAUAUGGGCUGAUGUUGUAGGUAGUGCAGUUGGAAAUUUCAUUGGGUUAACUGCUACAGAGCGUAAAUGGAAGGUCGGUCGACCAACCAGCAGCAGGGACAAGCCUCCAUAUAUGAUGAUCGCUGUGCAAAGAGCCAAAAAUGUAAGUUGGUGCCACAUAUGGGUGUUGCUGGAGAAUUUGGUACAAGCAAGCAUACACGCUUUUGCAGUAUAUGUCGUCAGCCAGGGCACAAGAGCACCACGUAUCCAUAGAGCGGUGACCUCCCUCAAAUGGCAUGAAAAGAAGCAAAAUGCUCGAACUGCGGAGUGGGAGGGAUCGGAAGAACACCUGCAACAACCCUAAGGUUGUGCUACAUGUUGCCGAGAAAGGUGCCCUUGUACGGGCUGUAGCUCUGUGAUUGAACUGAAUAAGCAGUGCGUAGCACUGACAUUUGGCUGUUUUUCCUUGUAUGAUGAGGCUUAGUAGCCAUUGGUGUGAAAUGGAUUAUGCAUUGUCGGGUUAGUAAUUGUGAUGAUGUUUCUCUUCGAUUAGUCUCAACCUCUGACUUA